UACAGAGGAUGCAAGCGUUAUCCGGAAUGAUUGGGCGUAAAGCGUCUGUAGGUGGCUUUUUAAGUCCGCCGUCAAAUCCCAGGGCUCAACUCUGGACAGGCGGUGGAAACUACCAAGCUGGAGUACGGUAGGGGCAGAGGGAAUUUCCGGUGGAGCGGUGAAAUGCGCAGAUAUCAGGAAGAACACCAAUGGCGAAGGCAGCUCUCUGGGACGGUACUGACACUGAGACGCGAAAGCGUGGGGAGCGAACAGG
rnacentral:rRNA from 1 species